UAAUCCAUCCAAAUCCAACCAUGUUUUUCUCUCUUUGGUCUUCACCAAUAAACAGAUGAUGAAACUUAAAACAUGAGACAGAGGGAGAGAGAGGGGUGUAAUAUGUAAAGACAUUUAUAAUCUGUGAGGGCACACAGAUCAAUGGGAGAUCAUGCGUAGCCAUCUGGGCUAGUCAGCCCGUCUUUUCUUGUCAGCUUAUAUCAGAACGCAGGGACAUGCAAGGGGAAAAGAUUUUUUUCUCCCUUGAUCAAAUCACAUUUGUUUUUUUCCUUAACAUAUAGGUUACAGCCUACCCAAGUGACAACCAGCUUCCUACCGCAAGUUGUUUGGAUAGGUUUUCACAGGGUGUGUGUGUGUGUGUGAUAGAGAGAGAGAGAGAGAGAGAGAGAGAGAGAGAGGUGGACGAUGACAAAUCAUCCACUGUAAUGGCGAACCGAGAUCGAGAGAUUCUUAUACCAACCACUCUUUGAUUCUGCUGACAAUGAUGCUUCUUCUAAACCCUCUUCCUCAUCUGUUGCUUUGUCUCAUCACUCCAGUUGAGAGAACAUUGUGGAGAAGAUCUGGGUUGAUGUAGGGACGAUGCGAUUUUGAGGGAAGAAGGAAUCUGGUUACAAGGAGAAACCCUAAACUUAGAACUCUCACAAUCUCUCAUCUCUUUCAUUUCUCCCUCAUAAUGAUUGAAUCAGAACAAUACCUAUUUGGAAUUGUUGAAUUUUUUAGCCGUAUAAAUGAAAGGUGGCGCUUUUUUGAUAAGCCGGCAAAGCUGCAAGGGUUGAACUCCAAAAUCUUGAAUCUUUUUAGCCUUAAGGAUUGGCCUCCGGCAACAAUCAAUUUCAGAGUAAGACUCCUUUCUUGCAUUAUCAAUGCUAUCACACACUACUAUGUCACAAUGAGAUAAUGUGGAUAGUAUAAAAAUCGAGUCUUACACUGAAAUUGAUUGUUGCAUGAACUCAAUUCCAUUGAGCCUCAAAGGUUUCAUUGUGAGUCUUGAAAAUAAAGAAUCAUUCUCAGAUUUUGGAGAUCAACUUUGCAGCUUUGCUUUCUUGAUUGAUCAAGAAAGCUUCAACUUUCAUUUAUCAGAUCUUUUGGCUCAUAAAUUCCUAUGAGCAUAAGGUCCAAAUAGCUAUUGCUCUGAUUAGAUGAUCAAGCAUGAGGAAAUGUACUUUCUAUUUUAAGUUUCAAGUUAUGAUACUAUCUUUAUGUUCUCUGUAAUGGCUUUGAAAAGAGGGAAAUGUCAUUUGAAUAAUAUUGUUUUUUUCUAAUAAAACAGUAUGUGUUUAUUGAAUCUCA